rnacentral:lncRNA from 1 species
GGAUUUCUUGCCAUUGGAAGGGGUGCCUCUCCCUGAAGGUGGAUCUCUGAAGGAGGCAGGCCAGGCCUUCCAGCAAAGCUUUCUUUGCCUGGUGUGGUUGUCUAUCUCUCCAGGGGACAGCAAGUGACCGGCACAGAGGGUGCUUGUUGAAGAUGCUGCAACUGGUGGAGGUCACCAUGGUGAUAUUCUUCAUACUGAUGGAGGUCACCAUGGAGACGAUGCUUCACUUUGUUGAAUAUAUGACAAUACCAGCUACCGGUGAAGGUGUAGAUACUUCCUAUUGGCCAAGCUCAUCAAGGCUCUGCUGUGUGCCUGCAGAACGCAGGGACUGCCUUCCCAGCUGCCUCUGCGCAGCCAGAACCUUCCACUGAGAAGCCAGGCGCUUCUACAUGGUAGAGCUGAGCCAAGAACUUCAGACGUAACCAACGCACAGGACAAGCUCUGGGGACCGUGUCUCCUGAACGCACACGACACAAGCUGAGGGGAGCCACUCCUUAGAAACAAUUAAACAGGAAUAUUACAGGAUUCAGUAUCCCUCUUUGGGAACUGGUGGACCCGUCACCCCCAAAUGAAAUCAGCACUUCUCAAAGUGUCCUGUAUUUAUGGUAGCACUAGCCACAGUAGCCAGGAUACAAAAAAAAAAAAAAAAAAAAAGAAAAAAGAAAAAAGAAAAAAGAAAGAAAGAAAGAAAGACUUGUGAAUGGCUAAAGUUUGAUACACACCUCUAGAGAGAGGGGGAGAGAGAGAGCCUUAAAAAUUAAAAAUGAAUUUUAAGGAAUUAUAUCACAUUCUAAACAUGUGUAACAAACAAACAAAAAGGAGGAUGUUUCUUUGACCUUGUGGUUGUUUUAUAGGCUCCUCAUCAGAACACCUUAUAUCCUUAGCUGAGGUUCCUAUGUUCCCCAGAAACCAUAAGCCCCCUUAACUUUGCUCUGAUUUUUCUGACUGCUUUCUACACUUACUGAUAGUAGCACAACACCUUAGAAACCUGGAUCUUGAUGACAUCUGCACACAGCUUAAAGAGAAUAUUGGCUUCAACAUGCCACAAUUUAGACAUAUUUGGGGCUGGCCAUCUAGAAAUGGACUUUGGACUUGAAAUUCCCAGAACCCUCAGCAACACAGCGUCCCUCCACUCUGAUCCACAUGCUGUGGUCCAGGCGUAAGGUAGUGUGUCUGAGAGAACACUGUGAGGGACUCGGUCAGCUCACUGGACUCGGCUUCUCAUACUGUCUAAAUGUGAGCUCGGUGCUGGGUCUGUGUCCUGAUGACGCCACAGCCACUUCCUGUUGUGCAAAAACCAAGCUAUCAAGUUUGAACUGCUUUGAACUGCCAUCUUGAAUAUAGAGAAAUGGAGCACAGACGCUGGCCUGGUGCCCCCUUCUCCCAGUGUGAAGAAAUGGACGUCUGACUAGCAAGUUCCCUCUCAAAUGUUCAAGACUCCCAUAGUAAGAAAAGAAGAAAGCCAGAUGGUUCCAGUUUUGUUUGUGGAAGCAACCACAGAGGACUCACACUGAGCCCAGCUGCCUCUUCACCCUUGCAGGUUUCUGUGGGUUGUACCUGUUCCUCUUGGUUCUCCAUUGUUCCUUGUCCAUCAGUGGGUAGACAAACGUCAAUUAUUUCUGGGGCUGCAAGACUACAAUCAAAAGUAUAUUAUCUGUACUUCCCCUCCUCCCGUGUACAGAUGAUGUAUCCUUACUCUUUCCUGUGUCUUAACAAGGGCUUUGUGGUGUGUGUGUGCAUGAGCAUACAUGUAUUCAUCAAUCAUGUGUGACACUCGUCGGAAGACAUGAUUUACUUUGAAAACCACUAGAGCAGGCACUGUGCAUGGGACUUGGGAUCUGCCAGGCUGAGCCUCCUUUUAAGAACCUAGAGUGGGUGUACUUCAGACUUCUCAUUCCAGAGCUGUCAUUGGGGCCAAAUAUGGGGACAUUUAGGUCAUCAGUGAUCCUGGUUGGGUCUCUUUCUACAUGAAGCAAUGGAUCAUACUAACCAUGGACUGAAACUCCAGACGCCAUGACUUCAGACUCCGGCUACCUUGGAGACAGCUGUGCGUCUGCUGAAUUUCCUAUGUGCUGACUUUAGACUUGACUUGAAGAGAACUUGAUGAACCGGGAUGAGAAGGUCAAUGUUUGUAAGUGGCCAAACGGCAUCCCUGCCCUUUUUAUUGGAGCAAGAUUGCAUGACGUCAGGACUGC